AUUGAACGCUGGCGGCAGGCCUAAUACAUGCAAGUCGAACGAGUCGCAGACGGGUGAGAAAUGUCUGGGACACUGCCUGAUGGCUGGGGAUAACUCCUGGAACCGGUAGCUAAUACCGCAUACCUUCCGAUGUGCCCGGAUGGGAUUAGCUAGUAGGUGGGGUAAAGGCUCACCCAGGCGCCGAUCCCUAGCUGGUCUGAGAGGAUGACCAGCCAAACUGGAACUGAGACACGGUCCAGACUCCUACGGGAGGCAGCAGUGGGGAAUAUUGCACAAUGGGCGCAAGCCUGAGGCAGCCAUGCCGCGUGUGUGAAGAAGGCCUUCGGGUUGUAAAGUACUUUCAGCGGGGAGGCGUUACCCGCAGAAGAAGCACCGGCUAACUCCGUGCCAGCAGCCGCGGUAAUUC
rnacentral:rRNA from 1 species